rnacentral:rRNA from 1 species
GACGAACGCUGGCGGCGUGCCUAAUACAUGCAAGUAGAACGAGUUGCGAACGGGUGAGUAACGCGUGGUAACCUGCCUCAUAGCGGGGGAUCACUAUUGGAAACGAUAGCUAAUACCGCAUACUGUGAGAUGGACCUGCGUUGUAUUAGCUAGUAGGUGGGGUAAAGGCUCACCUAGGCGACGAUCCCUAGCUGGUCUGAGAGGUUGACCAGCCACCCUGGAACUGAGACACGUUCCAGCCUCCUACGGGAGGCAGCAGUGGGGAAUAUUGCACAAGUGGCGCAAGCCUUAUGCAGCCAUGCCGCGUGUAUGAAGAAGGCCUUCGGGUUGUAAAGUACUUUCAGCGAGGAGGCGUUACUCGCAGAAGAAGCACCGGCUAACUCCGUGCCAGCAGCCGCGAUAAUAC